rnacentral:rRNA from 1 species
CGUAGGUGUCUGNCACGAUUANCAAUUUCACCUCUAACGUGGCAGUACGGAAUGNNCCCGUCUGUCCCUCUUAAUCAUUACUUUCGUUCUUAAAACCAACAAAAUAGAACGUAAGUCCUAUUCUAUUAUUCCAUGCAGAACUAUACAAGCGAAACGCCUGUAUUGAGCACUUUAAUUUGUUCAAAGUAAACUUGACNGCCGCCGCUGACACCCAAUGAAGAGCAUCAACGACAAACUGACGAUAAUGUACCGCAUCACAGUAGUAGCCGAAAGGCCACACUGCGUGCUAAGUACGCGAAUCAAACUACGAGCUUUUUAACCGCAACAGCAUAGAUAUAUGCUUGCGGAGCUGGAAUUACCGCGGCUGCUGGCACCAGACUUGCCCUCCACUAGAUCCUCACCGAAAGUUUUACAUUCGGCCCAUUCCAAUGACGACACCCGAAAGGGCAUCGCCUCGGUAUGUUUCGUCACUACAUCCUCGUGCUGAGAUGGUGUAAUUUGCGCGCCUGCUGCCUUCCUUAGAAGUGGUAGCCGUUUCUCAGGCUCCCUCUCCGGAGUCAAACCCUGAUUCUCCGUUACCCGUUACAACCAUGGUAGUCACAUAAACUACCAUCGACAGUUGAUAAGGUAGACACUUGAAAGAUAUGUCGCCGGCACUAGACCGUGCGAUCAGCUGAGUUAUUUAGAGUCACCAAGUAAACGGCCGAACCGAUUGGUCUUGAUCAAAUAAAUGCAAGCGUCCCGUGAGGUCGGCUCUU